rnacentral:lncRNA from 10 species
CCGCCGACCGCCUCUCCGCCGCGCCGCCGCCGACCGCCUCUCCGCCGCCCCGCCGCCGACCGCCUCUCCGCCGCGCCGCCGCCGACCGCCUCUCCGCCGCGCCGCCGCCGACCGCCUCUCCGCCGCUGUCCGCUUCUCCGCCACGCCGGCACCGGCGCUGUGUGCCUUUGCAAGGGCGGAGCUGCGUUCUCCUCGGCACAGACCCGGAGAGCAUUGCGAGGGCGGAGCUGCGUUCUGCUCUGCAUAGACCUUGGGGCACUGCCUCGCUUUGGGACAACUCGGGGCCGCAUCGACGGUGAAUAAAAUCCUUCCUGUUUGCAGCCAUGUUUGUGGUUGGUGGCAGCGAUGGACACUGCAGCCAGCCAGUGUAGAAAGGCAUUGGGUGAAAGAAGAUUGCCACGGAGACAGACAGCAGCAUGGUCAGUGUGGUAGGAGCCGGCCAUCAGCGAGAGCUGCUCCAUGCCUGGCUGCUGGGAGCUAGAGCCUGCGGCCCACUGGCUUGCCUCACUGUAGUUGGUGGUGGCAGUGACAGAGACUGCAGCAUGACCAGAGUGGUAGGACAGGGGCUAUCCAGG